GCUCGGGCAACAGGGGCACGACAGCCCCAUGGAAAUACAGAGGCCCCUGUCCACGCACAAGCGCCAUUCAAAGGGAAGUAUUUUCCUGACAGAAUCCCAGCUCAGUGUUCUUUCCUUUCCCCGUUUUAUAUUUUUCCACCCCCACUUCACCAGAAAUCUUUUUUAACCUCCUCAGAGCCUUGGGGGAAAAGACCCAUUAAUUUGCAAAUCAUCUGAUCUGUGAAAGGAUCAAGAUGCCUGGUUUUCACUGCUAAAUCCAAUGUCUUGAGUGGACACAUAGGCACACACAAGCCUGCCAUGCUGCCAACCCUUGGGAGCAUAGGUGCCAGAUCUGAAACCAAGAAAAGACUCCCUCUCCUCCUGGGACCUGCAGCCAAAUUAAGCCUUAGAUUCCAAACUGCAUAAUGUUCAUAUUUUUAAACCUGGAGAGAAGUGGGGAGAUGAAGGGGGACAAAAGAGGGGGAAGUUUGUUAAUUUACAUGUUCUAUUCAGGACUCAGACUAAUUGUCUUCCCCAUUCCCAGCUGCCCCCCUCAAAUCAUUUCUUACAGGAGUUGCUUUUAUUCAUUCUCAUGUCCUAUUCUUUUCAUUUUUGGAUUAAAAUCUACUUGUUUAGUAUCUACUGCGGAGCAAAAAUGUGACCAUGCUCUUUCUGUCUUGUCAGAGGGUCAGAAGCAGCACAGGAUUCCUAGACAAGGAGCGCGGGGACCUGGCUACGCUGUCCCCGGCCUUUGCAUUGUGCUCUCCAGAAAGGCUGCACUUGGUCACAGUUUCGUUAGCAUGGCAUUCGAAUGCGGCCUCCUUGGAUUCUGGCCAGCACUGGGCACUGCUGCUGUCUUCGAGCCACUAGUUCUCAAUCUGGGGCAUGGCUUUGAAGAGAAGGUUGCUAAGCCUCCUCAACCCCAAUGCACACCAAUGCCAUUUCCCCACUCAUCUGGAAACCUGGUGGGUCCUGGCCAAACGCCUGUAUGUCAAUUCCACCUCCAACUUGGCUGCCUACCAUGCCAACAUUUUCAUCUCAAGCCUUUCAGAUCUGCUUUGGGCACCCGAAGACAGAGUGAAUCAUCUUUCAAGGGUCAGACACUUAGCACAUGCCCUUCCCUCUGCUUAGAAUGCUUUUCCCUCUUUCCCAAUUGCCUUUUAUUAUCAGCCUAAAAAAUAUUUAUUUCUGUCCCUAAAAUCUCAGAUAUUACUUCUCCAGGUGCUUUCCCAGACCCCUCACUUUAUUCCAGAAGGAGCUACCACCACUUUUGCCUGGCGAGUACGUUUUCACAGUUACACUUAUACGCUACAGCAACUUAUUGGUGAUUUGUCUGUCUCCCUUACUCAACAGUGAAUUAUUCACCUAUCCCUGGAAACCUGGAACUACUCAAUAAAUGUUUGUGGCAUGAAUAUACA
rnacentral:lncRNA from 13 species